ACUGCACCAGUUCUUGCGCUAUGGUAGAGAAUGACUGAUGAAUCGCCUGCAAUGCUUUUCUUUAGUGUUUCUGCGUCACAAUAGUCGGUUUAUUUCUGAGUUAUAUUCUAUAUAGGUUCGCUGUUCUAUUAGGUUUCUUUGUGAAAAAUAUUUAUUUCGUUUCUUAGCUAAGACGAAUUACUUCAGGUAGUGUAACUUUAGUGUUAACUGCGGUGUCAAAGUGAGUGUCAUUAGCUGGCUAGGUUUUUUUUUUUUGGUUCAAAAAGCAACUGAAACCUAUGGUAAGACGUUUUUUUUACCAAUACUAAGCCAACUUAAAUUUGAAAACGCAGUUGAGGACACCGCGUAACAAAUUUACCCUAAGUGCGGUAUGUAUUUAGUCCGCUAACGGCGUUGAUUCUAGCCAACGUAAGUUACUGUAAGAGAUUACAUCACGUUAGUUAAGAUGAAUUCUCUUUCAUUUAUUUUUGGUAAUUUUUGGCGGAAAAUGUACACUACGUUGUAUUUUAGGUUUGGUAUUACAUAGCUAUCAAUUUAAAUGCAGCUAAAAUAACGUUAAAUUGUAGUUACGCAGUUGAAGGAAGAUGCUAGCCAAUAGCAUUAACAAAAUGGCGCCGAGUAGCGACCUUUAAAAAGGGUGUGGCUUCUAGCCUCGAAAAUUCCAGACCAUAACCGAUUUAUCUUUAUAUAGCGUCAAAAGCCAACCUAGUCAUUAUACGUGUGUGAGGGAGGCAAUUUCGUAGUUGGUUCAAAUUCGUUUUAAUGGCAUCCAUUUACUUGCCGUUUAAUUCAAUUAUUGAAUCUUGUCCGAUGUUGUACAGCGUUACCGAUCUGGUAAAAUAAUUGAGGAAAUCUGAGUAGGAGGAGCCUUAAAGUAAGCUUGCCUACAUUUAUAUCAGUGGUGUUGAAGGACGUCGGAAUGCAAUUUCAGAAGAGCUGCCACAAUGUCACGUCUAAUCCCGUUUCUUGAAUUUGAAUUUAAAAUCCAUUGAGAUGAAGACCAGUCUGAAGAUGUUUGUAUACGGCUUGAAAUAGCUUUAUAUAUAUUGAAGAGGCAUUAAAUGAAGUUUGAAAGUCUAAUGAGCUUGAAGCAUGUUACCAGUGAAAGUGAUCUUGAGCUUUUAGAAGUGCCCAGCUGUGAAGACAAGUUGCCAUGGUAUUGGCGUAAUUGUUGCCUCCAGUGGUUGCCAUACGAAGUGCAUCUAACAGAAGAUUUAAUUAGUUCUGGCUAAACAAAAUUAGGGUGCUUUCAAAGGAAAAUGAGAAGGGCUAGUGUUGACAACCUAGCUUGUGCCAUUUUAUUUCUUAAAUAAUGGGACUGGUAUGCUACAUAGUGGUGAAGAGAGAAGAUUUUUUUUUAAUUUAAUUUUUUCGUUAAAAAAACAAACCAAAAAAAAAUUCCAGAGGCAGGACUGAGUUUGCGAUCGUGUGGAAGGCUGGACUUUGUAGAGGUUGGUGACCCAGGGAAGGAGCGUAACGGGAUCGGAGGGAAAGCGGGCAGGAUCAGGAGGAGCAGCACCAGUGUAAUCCAGAGGACAGCAGGCCAGAGCGCAGCGGGUAGCGUCAGCAAAGAGGAGGCGUCUGCGUGCGGUGUCCCAUGGUAGUCCCCAAGCGAGCAAGCAGGUUCCUGGCAGUGGCACAGAGGGGGGAGUCAGAGGGCAAGCAGCACAGCUGAGACCCCGUCACCUAGCUACAUGAUCACAGAAGUGUUGGGUUUGUAUAUUGGGUUGAGGUAUUGCUGUAACGUUCAGCAUAAAAUCUAGUCCUUAAAAAAACCAAAACCUAGUUUUUCGGAACACUUGCUCGCGUAGUCUUUUGUUUCUUCUUUUUACAGGCAAGGUGCGUUAAAUAAGUGUCUGGUUCCGUCACCACCAUGUGCCCGUUGUCAUUCGCCAAGUGUGGUCUCCGUGUGCCGUGAUGAGUCCGUUGGUAGUUCCCCCGGGGCUAAAUGUCGUCUCCCCUGCGCUGGUUAUGGACUCCUCUUCCCUGCACUGGUUGCGUCCCAGAGGGCGGAUCGUCUUGUCGGACAUCUCAUCCCCCUGUGUUCAGAUGUAGUCUUCGGGCCGGAGAGCAUCCUAUUGUCCCCAUAGGUCCCUUCCUGUGCAGUGGUCAGCACUGGAGAUUGUCGGAUCUGCAGCCAUCCCCCCUGUACCACAUCACCUACUUUGGCAACAGAGCAGUCAAGUGAGCUGGUAAAAGCAAGUAGUACAUUGUGCAUGAGGUAGAAUAUUUGAGAGGGAGUAACUUUAUGAAUUUGGAGUGGACUUAAAACUUGUACAUACUGAGAAAUGACAAGGAGCAACUGUUCCUUGCUUAGUCUAUCUUGAAUGAGGAGAUGCCUUAUACAUGAUGCCUCAUGUAUUAGUUUGGACAUUAUGUGGAAUAGGGGGAGGGAAAAUGGGGGUCUUGAGUUCUUCUUUCCACAGGUUCCUCAGUUUUAGGCGACUACCAAAGAUAACACUGAUGGAGGAGUACCUCUGGCUUGUUUGGCACCUCAGCACUUUAACGUCCUUCUAUAGUGUGGGUCCUGUGCAAUCAGGUUGAGUCCAUCUGCAUAAAAUGGCUGUUCAGGAUGGCAACAGGUGAAGUCUGCAUUUAAUGCAUUGUGGGUUGACAAAAACGUCCACUUGAAGUAGAAGUGCCUUCUGACUGGCAUCCAUGCCAUUUUGAAAAUCCCCGCAUACUCUGUAAUGUUUAGUCGUAUUUCGUGUUGUGGUGUGUCAAAUGUCGUGUCCUGGGGGGAGGGGGAGGGUGGGGAGGCUAACCUGAAUCUUUUCCUAGACUCUUUCAGCUCCUCACGUAAAGCAGUUUAAAAAUAAGCUGAGUGGAAGGGUAUGAAUAGGAAUGACUGGGAAGAAACCACCCAAGGGUCCCACGUCAUCUGGCAGUCAUCCGUAUGUGCUCUUGUUCAAGUGAAAAGGUGUGACGUAAUGACACCCAAUCAUCCAGAAGUCUGGUACUUGAAGCAAUUAGGAUAUCCAGAUGCUCAACAUGGUUGUCCACAACAAAAAGCGGUAAAAGUUGAAAAUCGGAAAGAUACUGGGAUUUGGGCAAAGUGGGUGGUGGGGCUGGGAGUUACUUACUUGUGAAAGACUCUUCCAGAUGUUAAAAAUAAUCCGCCCCCCCCAAGAAAAGCCACCGCCGAUCCAGUAUUAAAUCUACCAGCCUUCCGUGGAGAACAGCUGGGAGCAUAAGUGUUUUUCCGUUCACAUUCGUACGGCAAGUAAACGAGCAUUGUCUGAAAUGUAUUGUUUUAGAGUUGCGUAUUUUGGUAGUCUGCAUUUUGUGGACCUCAGUUUUGAAAUGGAUUUGUUAUAUUUUAAAAACCAUUUGAAAUCUUGUGAACCAGUAGUUUCUGGAUGGGGUCAAUCUGGGGGUGGUGGGAGGUCUGUUUCCCUCUUUGCCUUUUGCAGUUUUCCUUGUGGCCGGUGAUUAAUUUUCAGGACCAACCGGAUCGGUCAGCUCCUAGUUUGCUGUAUGUAAAGGUUAACUUUCGCUAAUGUAACUCCCUCCAAUUUUGAGAUUCAAGACUUCAAAAGGUAUUAUCUUUGAAUAAUUACACCUAAUAUGCAUGGAUAUUGUACUGUACAUUUAAAGGGAAUGUUUCCCUCAAUUUCCGUUCACCUGUAAAGUUGUAAAUGUUGCUGUUGCGUUGGAGAAUUCUCCCCGUAAUGUAAAAUUAAAAGCACAUUGAACAUAAAAAUAAAUACAUAGCCUGUUGUGAGUGGUUUUGGUAUGCAUUUGUCUUUUUGGGAUUUGGGGGGGGGUCGUUCUUCUGCUUAACUUUUUCAGGUACGCUUUUAAAUCGUGGAGCUUUGUAGAGCACUGUGUCCGGGGCUUGGUAGCAGCUCUUUGAAGGUGGAAUUGGAGGCAGAUAAGUCACUUGCCAUGUAGAUGCCAUUUAAAGUCAUAGGAGAAAGAAUCAUGUUUGAAAAGAUGAUGGAAACGAGAUGUGUGAAGAAUGAUGGGCCUUAAUGGCACCCAGAAUGCAAGGAACCUCAAUGAUAAGCUUUACAGUGGAGAACAUGCUGGUGUGUGUGGACGUUGUGCAAUUUCUCUCCCUUCAAAACAAAGUCUUUAGAGUCUUGAAACGGACAAGCCAAUGGGAGGACUCAACAUGGAAAAUCCUAAAGUUAAGUUUAUAAAAAAUAAAAAAAAAACUAAAAUAUAUAUUUUAAAUCUCAAUCUCGAGGUAAUCUUGAGUAGAAAUUGUGUAACUUAAGUGGGGUUGGGGAUAUUCAUUUGUAUUGGAGGGCGGGAGGGGCGGAUUCUGUUUGCUCUCAAUCUUCCAGAAUCUUGCAACUUGGAAGAAGGCCAACUGCCAGGAAAGUGUGACCACAGGGAUCGGCAGCCCUUUCAACUUCAGUAUCUUGUCAGGCAGGACGGUUUUAACCAUUUCCCCCAAAAAAAUGCUUGAUCAGUGCAAGUUGGCAGUCUUUGCUUUAAUGUUGACUUGGCUACCAGCACUUGUGCAAAUGUGUAGGUGCAGUUUAGUUGAGUUGUCUGCUGUGCAAAUGUGCAGUUUUAGUGAAGUUUGCAGUCGUGCAACUGUGCGACGCUAAAAUCUGAUGGGUAGCCGAGGGAAGCCGUGCAACUGUGCAGUUUCAACUAAAUUGUGUUCGCAUUGCAACUGUGAUGCUGGUUAAUAUUGAGGCUUGCAGUAGGGAUGUUGGUUAUUGUGAGGGGGGUGGGGUUUGUGUAUUCUAGAAUUUCUUUCUUCGCAGAGUCGUAAUUUGCGUCCACACAGACAGCAGCUACAGAUUGCAAGUCCACAAGAAGUUUCCUCGUCUGAAGUUGCUAGUAAGAAUCGAUUGCUAAAGUGGUGGUCCCAUUGAUCGCAAGCUGGAAGGCCUAUAAAGGUCCAUUUCAAUUUGAAACAAUGUUUUCCUGUUGUGACAUCUUAAGGUGAGCUGUUCAGCUUUUCUUAACAUCCAUCAAUGAGGGAAAUUCAUUUCCACAUGCAACGCGCUUAAUUAGCAUUUGCAUUCUCACUUGCUUCACUAUUGUGUCGCUUUGCAUCUAAUUUAACACAUCUAACAUGUUUCUGAUACACCACAUGAAACACAGUUUUCGUUAAAUGUAUGCGUUGGGGGAGAAUGUGGGGAAGUUGUUUGUCUUUCAGAUUGUUUCGGCUGUUGCCCACUUUGGUCACCCCUGCAUCUAUGUGCAAAGCUGUCUGGGAGCUAAUGGCAAGUGAAUGUCCCCUUGAUGAAUGAAGACGUUUCCUCUCACUCCUGUGUGCUUGAGCUUGAACCUACGAGGAGGAUCUUUUUCUGUGUGUUGUGUUUUCCGUUCUUUGGUUUCCCAAACAGGAAUUUACCAUGUAUCAAAUUGUCAUGAAUGCAAGAUUGGCUGGAAUAUGGCUUCCAGGAUGCGCUAACAGCGUGAUGAAUCGGUGGGAGAUCUUUCAAUUUGAUUUCAGCUAAAAGCCACAAGCUUGUCUUGCUGCUAAUUAAGCUCUUUCUGCAGUUGCUUUGGGCUAAGUUAAGUAACCUCUGUUUCCUUAAUUUGUCCACAACUUUGUUAGGAGCUUUCUGUGAUCUAAGCAUGCACCUGAAAUUUACAUGCAUUAAUCUGUAGACCUGCAGUGACUAAACUUCAUAAAUUAAAUUGGCAAAUGCCAAUGUAAACGUUUUUCUGAAAGUACUGUAGCGGGAGUAGAUCUGCGAUUGGUUGGGGUGGGGGGGUGGGGUUGUUUGGGACAACAUUUUCUUAUUUCUUUGCAGAAACUCUUUAAAAUGAAUCGGCAUGAUUGACUCCCGGAAACGUCAACCUAGCGUGCAUCUUGAUUCCUGCUGGAAGGGGAUGGCCGUUGUCUUCCGUUUCUUGAUCAUUUUUACAGGUUAAAGGCAAACCGUCCAACUGCGUCAAAGUAUUUCCUUCGUAUAGAUGGGAGACAACCGUGGGGAAUGCAGAUUGGGUCUCUGGGGGUUUUCCCCCCCCCUCAUUUGCAUUUCAGAUACUUAACUUCAUGCCCUGUAAGGCUUCCUUUUGACACCUACCGUAAAUUGGAGGACAUGGUCAAGGAUGGUGGCUGUAAGUGUGUAUUGAAAAAUUGUACUUUGUAAUCUUUGGAAAUAAUUUGGAAAAACUGGUAUAUCCAGCUUGGUUUUUGGUUGUAAUUGUGCAAGAUUUACAAGUGUGUUGCUAGUGCUUUGGGAUAACUUGUUACUGGAAAUGGGGUUUUUUUUGUUUUUUUUCCCCUAAUUGGGGGGGUGGGGGGGUUGUAAAUUCUUCAUAUGGUUUAUCUUCCAGCGCCUUUUUUUGAAGAUUCUGUGAUUCAAAGCAAGCCUAGUUUGACACCUGCGUGGACUGAAAUUGCAAUAGUAACAAUCUCAUUCUUUCUGAAUUCUCUGCGCCAUGCAGUCUGCUGGUGGCUUACUUCUGAUUGUUGAAAUUCUCAUUUUGUGUAACCUAGGAUUUUGAGUGAAAUAAGCGCAAGGUAGCAUUUCUACUGGUAUAUUGGGAGAUUUCCUGGGGGUUUGGGGUGGGAAAUGGCAACCCGUUUGUCCUCUAGUUGCAGGGUCCGCGUGAGGGAAGAACCGACCGUAGAGCGGAGCAAAUUUCAGAAACCGUGACUUCAUUUCUUUACUUCUCAGAUGUUAAAUUUUAUAGAUUAAUUUCAGCUGUAGGUCUCAGUCUUACAGUGGACAAUCUGGUCAUUGAGCCUGAACCGUUGGGAAAUGGAAAUGAGCGGUUUUAUGAAUUUACAAGGUAAAGGGAAAAUAGUAAUCAUUCGGUCCCAUUUUAAUAAGCAAUAAAUUGUAAUUCGAGCACCUGAAUUUACCCCUGGUUAUGUACUUUAAUGUACAGACAUUGUACGGUGUUGAACAUUUUAUCACUACGUUUCCCCACCUUCCCACCACAUUUUUUAAAAUCAUAUACAUUAUACAUUUCAUAAUCAAAGCGUUUCAUCAAUAGUGUUACAGUGAUGUCUUUUUUUAGGUCAACCGGGACGUUUCUUCCGCAAUGGGUUCCCUCCGCAGAUUUCCCCUUGCUACAAGGUUCAUUUUAAACUUGAUGCUCGAGCCGUCCCAGUCAACUGUAAGUGCUGUUAUUGUGAAGGGGAAAGGUCUAGGAGCAGUGAAGCUGUAGGCCACUCAAGCUCACAGAACGGGCCUGCUGAAUGCUGAAGCGGAUGUCCUCGGUUGCAACACUCACUACCGAGUUCCAGACUGCCUCUGGAAGCAACGUCAGCACAAGAACUGUUUGCUUCAUGAAAUGGGGUUUCGUGGCCAAGCGGAAAAAAUACAUCAGCCUCAAGUGGUAGCAGAAAUGUUCAUUAUGCUUCCCAGUAAGAAUACUUGGACACAGUUGCGCUAGGUUUAAAAGUAAAACUUAAUUUAGUUAUAACUUUAUAGUGUAGUUAUGAUGGUCACAUAAGAAACAGGUUUAACAUUUAUUCUUAUUUUACUCUUAACUCCUUAAAUAAUUAUAUUGUGUGUUUUCAUAAGACUCUGUCUAUCUAUUCGGUGUGAGGCAGAAGGAAGCAGUUUUUGUGAUCUGUAUGGGAAGAGAAUUCACCAGCACUCUCUUCUUAAUGAUGUUCCAAACAGUUGAUUUUGGUAAACCUGUGUUUGGCCUAUGUCUCUGAUUGUUUUAUAUUACCCAUCCUCAUAAUGGCUUCCUUGUCAUUGGUUCUUGCACUGACAAAUUCCAAUUACAGACUCCAAAGCAAUUGAAAACCUAGAAUCAAGAGUAGAUACUGAAGCUGGUCUUACACUUGCAGUAAAGAAGCAAUUGAGCACACCUGACUAAUGGGGAUUGGUUGAUUUAUAAAAAGUUUGGUCAUUUCUAUAUGGUGAAACCAAAAUGUAUUAAAACCCUUCAAUAUAAGCUGAUAAUCUGCAAUUUAACCACAUAUGAAUUGCCUGAUUACAAAUCUAAAAUUUUGGCACACAGAGCCAAAUAAAGAAAAAAUAUGGCUUUGUCCUAAAUGUUAUGGUGCUCAAUAUGUAUGUAGGGUUGUUCAUGAUUCCUGUUAACAUUUAUAUUAACAGGUUGUAUAUUAUCCAGCAAGAAUUCCUACCUUUGUCUACCUUUUCUUUCCUGUAGUGGCAAAUUCUAGAUCUGUAUCUUGAAAAAAAGAAAAAACAUCUGCAGAGGACUGAUCACAAGAAUGCCCUUCUAUUGUAAAGCAAGAUGUUUGAAUUGCCUUACAACAGAUCAUUUUAAAUUGUUUACAACAUUUUAAAUAUGUUGUACAAAUGUAAAAUGUAUUAUGGGUCUGACUCAAGUAAAUUGUUGAAUACACCAGAAGAUAUGUGUACAAACCUUCAGCUAAGUAGCAAAUAAUUGGUGAAAGAAUGACAUUACAGGAUGAUAACUGUCCAAAGCAUGCAUGCAAGUUUUAAGAAAAUUUAAAACUUCUUCUAUUUUCAGUGGAAUUUGUCCAUGCAUUGUGCGAUGUAAUUAAUUUCCCCGUGGAAAUAAAUAAAGCUUUUUUAAUUGAAUU